GACGAACGCUGGCGGCGUGCUUAACACAUGCAAGUCGAGCGGUAAGGCCCCUUCGGGGGUACACGAGCGGCGAACGGGUGAGUAACACGUGGGUGAUCUGCCCUGCACUUCGGGAUAAGCCUGGGAAACUGGGUCUAAUACCGGAUAUGACCAAAGGCUGCAUGGCUUUUGGUGGAAAGGUUUACUGGUGCAGGAUGGGCCCGCGGCCUAUCAGCUUGUUGGUGGGGUAAUGGCCUACCAAGGCGACGACGGGUAGCCGACCUGAGAGGGUGACCGGCCACACUGGGACUGAGACACGGCCCAGACUCCUACGGGAGGCAGCAGUGGGGAAUAUUGCACAAUGGGCGAAAGCCUGAUGCAGCGACGCCGCGUGAGGGAUGACGGCCUUCGGGUUGUAAACCUCUUUCAGCAGGGACGAAGCGAAAGUGACGGUACCUGCAGAAGAAGCACCGGCCAACUACAUGCCAGCCGCCGCGGUAAUAC
rnacentral:rRNA from 1 species